CAGAUAUUAAAAUAUAGUAUAUAUUAAUACAGUGGAAACCUCUAAAUACUGGAUACUCUCGGUCACUGAAAUUUAUUUUAACUAUUCUGAAAUACACCGCUGUUCUGUGUCUGUUAUUUUGUGGCCUGUAUCUAUAUUUAGAAGCUUUCAUAGGGGUAAGUAGUGAAAAUAUCGCCGUUCCCAAAAAAACCGUCCGCUAUUUAGAGGUGUCCGUUAAGAGAUCUAAUUGUUGGUUGAGGUAAUUAAUAAAGUUUUAAUACGAUUUUGUGCUUAGUACAUAUUAUGAUUUUAUCUUGAUAUUUUUUUUUAUCGCCGGGGGAGGGCAAAAAAAAAAAAGUCCUAGUUACGGCACUGUUGUACCGGCAUACAAAUACAAAAUGUAUCCGGUAUCUUGUACUGCGACGGUGAAACAUACCUACGUAACAUCCGGAAACUCGUUUUAAAGCCAUAUACCCGACAACAGGCGCCCGGCGGCGGGGCAAGCCUGAUCAGCCGUCUGGCCGUACUUUCUUAAGAUGGAGAACUCAAAUCAAUAUUUCGUGUAUCGCGUGCCUAGUACGCGGAUCUUUAACAUAGAGAACGUAAGUAUCGCCAGCGGGCUG